CGAAGAGGGCGGUGACUAAACCAAUCAGAUUCCGUGUAGAGCCACCUGAUGAUGAUGGAAGUGAAGCACUCCAGAAAAAGACAAAUGAACCCAGACAAGCCCAGCGUACAGUGCCACAGCUUCCACCAGCCCCUAGUGUAACUUCAAGAGCCAGUGUCUUUGAAAAUGACCCUACAACAAGGUACAUAAUGUUUCAAGUCUGAUAAACAAGCCUACUUUCUCAAAGUUCUGUUCCUACCAACUGUAUGGGAUGAACAGGAAAAUCUGAUAAGUGUGUACUAUAAAUGUGGUAACGGUUUGACAUCUGUGAUAUUCUCUGAAGUUGCAGAUGCAGAGGACUUGAGGCCAUGUGCCACCUCAAGCCAGAGCGACAGUAAG